rnacentral:rRNA from 1 species
ACAGAGGGUGCAAGCGUUGUUCGGAAUCAUUGGGCGUAAAGGGCGCGUAGGCGGCUAUGCAAGUCGGACGUGAAAUCCCUCGGCUUAACCGGGGAAUGGCGUCCGAUACUGGAUGGCUUGAGUAUGGGAGAGGGAUGCGGAAUUCCAGGUGUAGCGGUGAAAUGCGUAGAUAUCUGGAGGAACACCGGUGGCGAAGGCGGCAUCCUGGACCAUUACUGACGCUGAGGAGCGAAAGCCAGGGGAGCAAACGGGA